AUUUCCUCUUCACUUCUACCGUCUCUAAGCCAGCAACACACAAAAUGUCUACACAAACAUGAGGUUUGCAAAAAGUAGUGGACUCUAUACUGUGCAAAUCUGCCCUAGUUGUUCCACUGUAUAGCCUGUAUGUGCACAUAUGUGGAAGGACAAACAGUCACAGCGACACUCAUCUUCAUUUUUCUGCUCGGAGGUACAAGUCUGGCUUUAGCCUCUCAUGGUAGAGCCGCAAAGCUUCCACAAAGCCACAAAACUGCCGUUAGAGGGAUUUCUAUGGAUAAAAUGUGUUUUGUGGAUAAUGUUUCAGAGAGUUAUUGCGCUUACUGGGCCAUAAAACCAUACAAAAACACUUAGCAAAAUUUUAUACUGUAGCUCCUUUUAUGAUCCAUUUUAUACUUCAGUGCAAUCAAAUUGCCACUACAUGAUCAAUGGUGAAUUGAUCAACAAUGCGCCAUUCAUUCAAGGGUUUGUUUUACUGCCAGCAUUUUUAUCUAAGCACUGGCUGGCUUCCACUUGUAUCUAGAGUGCCUUGUUGUAGGAAACAGAGUGUGAGUUAAGGGAUAUAUAUACCUUCUUUGUUACAGUAAUUCACAGGGCCAGGAGGUCAGUGAUGUUUACUUGUAUCAAAGCCACUUACAUUUCCCGCCUCACCAUCUAUAUCUCCACUCUGUCUCUUUCCUCACACAUUUGCAGCCUCUGAGUCAUUUUCGACAGCAAACUCUCCUUCGAACACGGCGUCAAUCAAAUCACCAGAACUGUCUUUUUCCGACCUAAAAAACCUAGCUCGUCUCCGUCCGUCACUUUACUUAUCCGCUGCCUUCAUCGACUCCAGAAUUUACUACUGCAGCAGCGUUUUUUAUGGUACAUGAUCCAAAGUCCUAAAUAAACUCCAGUGCAUCCUCUUACUCUCGCUUCCAUGACCACAUCGCACUCAGAAGCUUCGCUGGCUUCCUGCCCCACAAGAGAUACAUUUCAAAGUUGCACUCUUAACUCUCAAAGCCCUCUAUAACUAGGCCACCUCCUGGUUUCUAGGUGGAUGUGGCUCAGGUGGCAGAGUGGAUUACCCACCAAUUACAAGGUAGGUUCCCCUGCAUGUGCUGAAAUGUUAUUGGGAAAGACACUGAACCUGAAGCUGCUCCCGAUGGCUUCUCCACCACCACAGGUGUGUCAGUGGGAAGUCCAUGGGCGUAACGGACACGGGGUACGCGUGGGACAUGUCCCCCGCACUUUCCACAUCUGUCCCCUCUGUCCCCCGCACUUUUUUCAGCCGUUACAACAGCUAAACCCGUUAUUAGCAUCCAGUAACGUGUUUUCCCGAGCCGUCUUUGAAUGCACCAUGAGCGCAUGCUAACGCAGGUGUUCCAGAGGAGACGUGCUGCUGUGCUGAGCAGUGCUGAACGUGCGUCUGGAGUAAUGUUUAGCAAACCAGCUAGAGCUAGCAAGAAGCAAAAAACUUUACACAGUUUUUUCCAAACAAACCGUGUAAGUUGUGUGACCUUGUUGGAUGCAAACAAUGUUAGACUUGUUAGCUAAAUGAUGACAAGGUAAAACGUGGCAAUAUAUCAAUAUGUUAAGCUAGUUAACAAUAAUUCAAAUGUGGUUGCCUCUGUUACAUUACUUGCUAAUUAGUUUAUUCUUGGAAUAAACCCAGUCCUCUUUCAUUUCUGGGCAGAAGAUGUGCUCACAAUUGCUCUCCAUGUAUUUAAGUCUUUUGGUCCCAAAAGAGGAGAGUCAGGGAGGAGAAAAAAGAAUAGGCUAUCUAUGGUAUAAAUUUACAACUAUUUUUUACUCCUUCUCUUUCUAAUUCUAUCUCAGAAUUUUGAUUUUCAGAUUUUUUAAUGAUUAUUUCCAUAACAAAGAGCAGAGUCAGGCAGGAGAUGGACCAAAGGCGGCGGCCAGCAGUAAUGUUGACCAUGCAGGGUCUGCAGAGGUGAAAAAAAUAUAUAUAAGUGGCUGAGAAAAAAAUAUGUAUCUAUGGGUUAAAGUGAUUUUGAGGUUAAAUUCUACUGCAAUUUUUACUCUUCCUAAUGCUAUUUCAGAAUUUUUCUUACCACAUUUUUUUUAUGUUUAUUGCCAUAACAGAAAGAGCAGAGUCAGGGAGGAGAUGGAUCAGAGGCCAGCAGCAGGGACAAGGAUGUAGGGUCUUUACAGUGUCCCUGGUCCCAGAGCUGGAUGCUUCAGAUCUGCGGUUGAUGUUCCACCAACUGGUCUAGUCUCCACCAUGUCCACUGUGGGAUGCUGCUGCUGACCUUCCUCCAGCCCUCCGCUUCCAGCUCCCCUUUUCCACCAGUCAACUCUACAUCGCCCUCACUAUACUUGUUAUGUUAAUCUACAUACUGUUUGAAUUUUACUGCUAGUUAUAUAUGUAGUAUAUUUAAUGUCAGAGCCGUAUAUCAUAAGAGUAAACUAUGAGUCAGUUUUCAAUGUUAGCUUACACUUUGUUUGUGUCACAUAUCUUGUCAUACAUGUAUCCAAAUGUGUGCUGUACUUUCCUUGCUUUCCCAGCCCUCCCUCUCCUCCCAUCCCUCCCCCUUGCCCUCCUCUGUCCCUCUCAACCCGCCCGACCAGCAUUCAGAUGGGUCCCCCCUAUAUAGAGCCGGGUUCUGCUCGAUGUUUUUCCCCUGUUAAAAGGGUGUUUUCCUUGCCUCUGUCGCCUUUGGGCUUGCUCUGGGGGUCAGGCAUAUGGGUUCUGUAAAGCGUCUUGAGACAAUUUGACUGUAAUUGAUGCUAUAUAAAUAAAAUUGAAUUGAAUUGA